UACCCUUGACAUGUACGGAAGCCCAGCGAGAGCUGGGUGUGCCCGAAAGGGAGCCGUAACACAGGUGCUGCAUGGCUGUCGUCAGCUCGUGUCGUGAGAUGUUGGGUUAAGUCCCGCAACGAGCGCAACCCUUGUCCCUAGUUGCUACGCAAGGGCACUCUAGGGAGACUGCCGGUGAUAAGCCGCGAGGAAGGUGGGGAUGACUGCGAGAGUACGUCC
rnacentral:misc_RNA from 1 species